rnacentral:misc_RNA from 1 species
UUUCCGUAGGUGAACCUGCGGAAGGAUCAUUAGUGAACGCCCUCACGGGCUUAUAACUAUUCCAAACCAAACCCCUGUGAACCUUACGGGAUGGCCUGGGUUAGCGCCCGGUGCCGUUCCGCUUUAUACAAACACUUAUCAAAGAAUGAACUGAAGGCGGUCUGACCGCUGGAUAACAAAACUGAAACAACUUUCAACAACGGAUCUCUUGGCUCUC